UUUGAUGGCGACCGGCGCACGGGUGAGUAACACGUAUCCAACCUGCCGAUGACUCGGGGAUAGCCUUUCGAAAGAAAGAUUAAUACCCGAUGGCAUAGUUCUUCCGCAUGGUGGAACUAUUAAAGAAUUUCGGUCAUCGAUGGGGAUGCGUUCCAUUAGGUUGUUGGCGUGGUAACGGCCCACCAAGCCUUCGAUGGAUAGGGGUUCUGAGAGGAAGGUCCCCCACAUUGGAACUGAGACACGGUCCAAACUCCUACGGGAGGCAGCAUG
rnacentral:rRNA from 1 species